GGAAACGUGGCAGAGUUGGUUUAAUGCACAAAUCUUGAAAAUUUGCGGCCGCUAAUACCGGUCCAGGGGUUCGAAUCCCUUCGUUUCCG
rnacentral:tRNA from 1 species